CAGGAAUCUUGCCAGAUAUUUGGUUACCUAUAAGAUCCAAGAUUCGGAGAUUACUUAAAGAAGCAACACAUCCAGGAAUUUCACCCGAAACCCCUUUCCAGUCUGCCAGAAUGAGCGUAGAGAGCCUGUCAAGUUUACAUAAUGAAGGGUUGAUGGAACCAGUCAUGUAGCCUGACCUGCCAGCCUUCUCGAAGAUGGGGUCUUCGGAUUCACCUCGCAGGUUGAUGUCUGCGACUCUGCCUGUGGUGGGGUCACAGCUGAUGCCGUACCAGUUGGAGCAGCAGUUAGUGCCUGACCAUGUGUUGAAGAUGCCUAAGUAUGGUUCAUUGAGGGAAGACUUGAAGGCUAGUAAUGCUGCUAGGUCUGAUG
rnacentral:lncRNA from 1 species